AGCGAACGCUGGCGGCAGGCCUAACACAUGCAAGUCGAACGGACCCUUCGGGGUUAGUGGCGGACGGGUGAGUAACACGUGGGAACGUGCCUUUAGGUUCGGAAUAGCUCCUGGAAACGGGUGGUAAUGCCGAAUGUGCCCUUCGGGGGAAAGAUUUAUCGCCUUUAGAGCGGCCCGCGUCUGAUUAGCUAGUUGGUGAGGUAAUGGCUCACCAAGGCGACGAUCAGUAGCUGGUCUGAGAGGAUGACCAGCCACACUGGGACUGAGACACGGCCCAGACUCCUACGGGAGGCAGCAGUGGGGAAUCUUGCGCAAUGGGCGAAAGCCUGGCGCAGCCAAGCCGCGUGAAUGAUGAAGGUCUUAGGAUUGUAAAAUUCUUUCACCGGGGACGAUAAUGACGGUACCCGGAGAAGAAGCCCCGGCUAACUUCGUGCCAGCAGCCGCCGUAAGAC
rnacentral:rRNA from 1 species